GACCUGACUUUAGUACGAGAGGACCGAGUUGGACUAACCGCUGGUGUACCAGUUGUGCCGCCAGGUGCAUUGCUGGGUAGCUACGUUGGGCAGAGAUAAGCGCUGAAAGCAUCUAAGUGCGAAACUCCCCUCGAGAUGAGACUUCCUUUAAGGGACGUUAUAGAUGAUGACGUUGAUAGGCUGCAGGUGUAAAGGCAGAAAUGUCAUAGCUGAGCAGUACUAAUUACCCGUAGACUUUCCGUA
rnacentral:rRNA from 1 species